rnacentral:rRNA from 1 species
UACAGAGGGUGCAAGCGUUGUUCGGAAUUAUUGGGCGUAAAGGGCGCGUAGGCGGUGCGGUAAGUCACCUGUGAAACCUCUGGGCUUAACUCAGAGCCUGCAGGCGAAACUGCCGUGCUUGAGUGUGGGAGAGGUGCGUGGAAUUCCCGGUGUAGCGGUGAAAUGCGUAGACAUCGGGAGGAACACCUGUGGCGAAAGCGGCGCACUGGACCACAACUGACGCUGAGGCGCGAAAGCUAGGGGAGCAAACAGG